rnacentral:rRNA from 1 species
AUUGAACGCUGGCGGCAUGCCUUACACAUGCAAGUCGAACGGUAACAGGUCUUCGGUUGCUGACGAGUGGCGAACGGGUGAGUAAUACAUCGGAACGUGCCCGAUCGUGGGGGAUAACGAAGCGAAAGCUUUGCUAAUACCGCAUACGAUCUACGGAUGAAAGCAGGGGACCGCAAGGCCUUGCGCGAACGGAGCGGCCGAUGGCAGAUUCGGUAGUUGGUGGGAUAAAAGCUUACCAAGCCGACGAUCUGUAGCUGGUCUGAGAGGACGACCAGCCACACUGGGACUGAGACACGGCCCAGACUCCUACGGGAGGCAGCAGUGGGGAAUUUUGGACAAUGGGCGAAAGCCUGAUCCAGUCAUGCCGCGUGCAGGAUGAAGGCCUUCGGGUUGUAAACUGCUUUUGUACGGAACGAAAAGACUCUGGUUAAUACCUGGGGUCCAUGACGGUACCGUAAGAAUAAGCACCGGCUAACUACGUG